rnacentral:rRNA from 1 species
GAUGAACGCUGGCGGCGUACCUAAUACAUGCAAGUCGAGCGAACAGACGAGGAGCUUGCUCCUCUGACGUUAGCGGCGGACGGGUGAGUAACACGUGGAUAACCUACCUAUAAGACUGGGAUAACUUCGGGAAACCGGAGCUAAUACCGGACAAUAUAUUGAACCGCAUGGUUCAAUAGUGAAAGACGGUUUUGCUGUCACUUAUAGAUGGAUCCGCGCCGCAUUAGCUAGUUGGUAAGGUAACGGCUUACCAAGGCGACGAUGCGUAGCCGACCUGAGAGGGUGAUCGGCCACACUGGAACUGAGACACGGUCCAGACUCCUACGGGAGGCAGCAGUAGGGAAUCUUCCGCAAUGGGCGAAAGCCUGACGGAGCAACGCCGCGUGAGUGAUGAAGGUCUUCGGAUCGUAAAACUCCGUUAUUAGGGAAGAACAAAUGUGUAAGUAACUAUGCACGUCUUGACGGUACCUAAUCAGAAAGCCACGGCUAACUACGUG